GAUGAACGCUGGCUACAGGCUUAACACAUGCAAGUCGAGGGGAAACGACGGGGAAGCUUGCUUCCCCGGGCGUCGACCGGCGCACGGGUGAGUAACGCGUAUCCAACCUGCCUCUGACUGAGGGAUAACCCGUCGAAAGUCGGCCUAAUACCUCAUGGCAUCGUCUGCGGGCAUCCAACGACGAUUAAAGAUUUCAUCGGUCAGGGAUGGGGAUGCGUCUGAUUAGCUUGUUGGCGGGGUAACGGCCCACCAAGGCUACGAUCAGUAGGGGUUCUGAGAGGAAGGUCCCCCACAUUGGAACUGAGACACGGUCCAAACUCCUACGGGAGGCAGCAGUGAGGAAUAUUGGUCAAGGGGCGGGAGCCUGAACCAGCCAAGUAGCGUGCAGGAUGACGGCCCUAUGGGUUGUAAACUGCUUUUAGGCGGGGAUAAAGUGAGGGACGGGUCCGUCAUUGCAGGUACCGCAUGAAUAAGGACCGGCUAAUUCCGUG
rnacentral:rRNA from 1 species